GUGAAACAGAAGAAGCAGUUAGACCGUACACCAACUUGUGAGGAAGUCUUCAAGGAAACCCACACACUUAAAAGUGACAAGUCUAAAUGGGUGGACAAACGCUCUCAAGACACUCAUGAGAAGUUUAUAAAAAAGUUAGCAGAAGUUCAGGCCCAACAUGUCGAGGCUCAAGCACAAGGAAUGGAGCUACCACCAAUUGAUGAAGACUUGAUUUGGGAGGAAGUGUGUGGUGGGCAAAAGAAGAAUCGAGUUUACGGAAAAGGAGCAUUCUUUUCUAGCUCUAUUAAGUCUAGAACCACUUCUGCCAACUCUGUAUCUGGAAGAGCAUCUACAAAUCAAAAUUUUGUUCCUGAUUUGCGAGAAUAGAUUCAUAAUCUCAAUGAAGAGCUUUUUCAACGUGUUACUCAACAGACAGAUGAGCGUAUUAGUAAGUUGUUAGAUACACGCUUGGCUCCUUUGGAAAAGACUCAAAAGAAGUUAGAAAAGUUAGAACGGGCAAUUGAAAAGGCCAAGAAGGAAAAGCUGAAACAGAAGAGAUGGAAUGAGGCUUAUGUUAGCUAUUACAAGAAGGUUAGAGCGUCAAGUAGUUCCACUACUGCUCCACCGCCACCGCCACCGCCGCCACCUUCAAUCUCUUCGGAUGAAGACUAUGACGAUGAUGGGGAUGAAGAUGACACUGAGGACUAUAGUUGAUAAAUUUAGUAUAGUUGAACAAUAUAUUGAGGAUUAUAGUUGAUAAUACACUUUGUUUAUGUCUUGAAUUAUAUUGACUUGCUUGUUUAUAAUACUUUUCUUUUAGCUUUAUAAUAUGAUGAAUUUGUUUAUUUUUUGUAAUAUUAUAAAUAUUUGAAUACUAAUUAGAUAAAAAAUUGCAAUUAUUAAA